GACUCUCAGCAAUGGAUAUCUCGGCUCUUGCAUCGAUGAAGAACGUAGCGAAAUGCGAUACCUGGUGUGAAUUGCAGAAUCCCGCGAA
rnacentral:rRNA from 1 species